CAGUAGGAUAGAGUUGUUUAUAGGUUGCUUGUGUGAUUGAUUCAGAUUUCUUCAAUGAGGCUAGAAGGUUUUUAAUUUGGUUUUCACGCUGCAAUGUUAAUUUGACAGGAUCAACAUCAAGGCGUUCAAACUUGCUAGUGUCACUCAAAAUAUCUUCCAUUUUCCGGUUGUAAUCGCCACGGUCGAGAAUGACAACUCCAUUUCCUUUAUCUGGCUUCACAAUGACGAUGUUUUUGUCCUUCUUUAAAUCAUCGAGUGUUUUCAAAUCGUCCUUGGAAAACAAGAAAUCGGGUCGGCUGUAACUGUGGUGGCCAGAGAGUGCGAU